UGUGUGUGUGUGCGCACAAACAUAUAAUGUAAACAUUUUCAGUUUCUCUAUAUUUCCAGUUCAGUAACCUGUGACUGUUUCGUGCAGUGCUGUUGAAAUGUGCUACAAAUUAUCUCCGUCGUGCUGUUCAACUGAAAGCGCUGAAAUGCAGCACCCGAGCAAACAUGAAGCCAGGUAUUAAAAUGUUUUGGUUUUGUUACUCUGCACCAACAUGCAUUAAUGUUUAAAACAGUGGGUUACAUCAGCUUAAAAUCAUUAACCAACUGGACUUUAAAGUGUAAGGCUGUCAUAAAGCACAGGAUUUAGCAUGUAGUAGUCAGAGCGUCUGUCUCCAAGUGCUCUAUGGAGCAUUAUUCGGCUGCAGAGUCACGAUAUUAAGAACAGCUCUGGUAUAGCAGCAGGUAUGAAGGGUUAAAAUAUGAAUGCACUGUAAUUCUUUUAAUUGCAGUAUAUUGGUCCAUAAAUGCAUUGUCUGAAUUUGCAGUAUUCACUUUCUGUAAACAAAUUAAUAGAAAUUGACCAUUUAAAUCAUUUAUGCCAGAACUUUCUGCAUGUAGUGCACAGCCUCAUAAAAAAACAGUUGUGACUACUGCAUUAUGACACUGUGAACCUUUCAGUGUUCACUUUCAGACUUUGGCAUCUAGAUGACUUUCUCUAAAAACCCUAAAGGAAUGUAUCUAGUGCAAUUUUGAACCAACUCUAAAUAAAUAAAACAUGAGUCAUGUAAGUGUCAAAUAUAAUUGUGCAGUAUAAACUGAAAGCUGAAACUUAGUUCCAGUAGGAUCUUUUUAUGGGACUCUUGAAGACUAGGAUUGGAUCAAAAUUUUUGAUACUAUUCAGGACAUUUUUUACAUACCAAAUUGUAUAACCUUAAUCUGCAAAUCAUUGUUAAGGAUUCUGUUUAAGUCUGCAAGCAUACCACGGAGACAACUGCAGGAUCUCUCAGAGAAUAUUACUGUAUGUUUACUGACAGGAUAUCAACAGGCUUUGACUUUGAGGCGUUUUGCCGAGCUAACAGCAGUCCCCUACCGCUGCUGUACAGGAGCAAAUGUAGAGAAUGGAGCUGCAGCCCCCUCGCCACAGGAUCUGACAUCAGGACAUGGUCACAUUUUACCUCGGCUGUAGUUUUGGCUUUCGAAGCAGCCUUGAUGGCCGCUGCGGGUUCAAGUGAGAAAUGUGGAACAGGGUAAAAAUGUCAGCAUGUACAAGACCUCAGUAGCUUGUAUUGGAGCAGGUCAGUUUCACUGUCCAAUGGUGGUGAGCAUGAGACCCGUACCAGAAGACAAGCUGGACGCUGCGGCUCAAACACACAUGUGAUCCCACUGGCACAUGGAGGCCCUGUCCAUAUUGGACAGCCUAGUUCAAGAGGCAUCCAGGCCCUGUUCUUGCAGGAUGAGCUCCUAAAGGCCUGUCUCUCACUGUCCCAUUCCUGCUGUUCUCAUCACCACUGGUUUCCCCACACACUACAUGCACAACCCCCCUGAAGAGACUGAUGGCCCGUCUGGGUUCAUCGCCAUGGCAGCUAUACUUCAAGCACUCUGCAAAGAGGUGGUCAUCGUGACGGAUGGGCAUGCUUUGGAGAUGAAUCAGCACAUCAUGCUGAUUUAGUGUUUUGGAGAUAUACUUGGGUUAUGCUAACCCGAUGUGAUAAAGCGACACAUUACUGUUUUAUUGUAUGUUAUUAAAUUUGUUUGGGUAUAAUUUGUGUUGAUUUGUAACAGGUGUGAUAAAGACUGCAGUGCCAAUAAUAAGUUACCAGAGUAAUAGCCCUGACUCAGCACCUCACUUCCUGUGCCGUGAUGGAGAUCCCACUACUCCCAGGUGUAAUUUCAUCCACUGCUUUCUCUUGUGCUGCAUCCCAAUUCACCCACAGUAUACCCUAAUAGCAUGCACUCUUUUUGUGAAGAAAAAACAUACGUUUGAGUAUGUAGCAGAAUAAUAGGCAAGUUUUGGGACAUACUACUUUGUCAUAAUUGCAACUUUAACAGACACUAGUUACGUGCAUCCCGUCACCAUUUAAACUGCCCUGUCAAUCAUGAUGUCACAGUUAACAUCCUUCACAAUUUCACUUCAUUUCCUAUCGUAUUAGAGAAAAUAAGGCAUGUUGAUCUGCCAGUUGUGUGUCUUUAAUGCCGUGAACUCUCCUCAUGUGUUUGCAUAAUGAUGCAUUUAAAAGUUAAUGACCAAAUUAAUCUUUAUAAAAUUUUUGAUUUAUUGUUGUAGAUGAGAUAUAAUGCAGAUAACAUUUAAUAUAGUUUUUUUUUUCCCUCAGGUGAGAUAUUAUUAAUUACGAAAACCCCUUUAUCUAAACCUCUCUACUUAAUUGUGUCACGCAUAUCUGCCAUGUUUGUAGUUUUGUAACACUUUAUAUUCAUGUUUGUAGUUCUGAUCGAAUCUGCGUCCAGCAAUAUUAGCCGUUAAGAGUCUGCAUGGAUCUGCACUUCAAUUAACAGAAUUUUGCUUUUCUUUAAAGAUAAUGGAUAAAUAUAUUAGUACAAUAUUGUCACAAAUGCUGUGGAUUGAGCUUAACUUAUACUGAAUCUGAAUCAUUCCUUUUAUUCAAAGAAACAGAUGUUAAAAUUACUGUUAAUAUUACUUUGUUAAUUCGUCGCACAACUAGAAAUGCAAGUUGAUUGACACUGCAGGUCAUCCAUGUGUUUUAUGCAUUCAAAAAAUGUACACAUUGUGCCAUAUUAUACAUACUAGACUGCAGAAAGAAGCCUAGUAUAUGCUAUUCCAAACACAGCCCAUGAAAUUUUUGUUAUGUAUACUAUAAAGGUUUGACCACUUGGUGGCGCCGGGCUGCCGAUGGGAACUAAUACAACAUGGCCAGCACUAUUGCAGGCAUCACUACCAGCUUCAGUGCUCCAAACCACUGUGAUUAACUUACACUAUAAAAUGUUACUGUGUAAUAAAAUGGAAGUAGUUUUUGAUUUGACUAUGGUUGCAUCCAAACCCUCUCUGAUGUAGGGUUAAAAGAGUUCUCUCUUUUAAGGAUCACAAUGCUUGAAUUGCCAACUUUGUUCCCAAUUGAUGAUAAGUUCGGUUGGCACCAGGGAAUGGUUUAAUGAGAUCUUUCACCCCUUUGGAACAGGAUUAAUUGUAUGUGUGUGUGUGUACAGGGAUCAGGGUUGGAGGUAAUGAGCUUGGUAUGGGCAAAGUCAAAGCAGCAGUUAAAGCAUACAUGUCUAAUGGUAAUCUGAUUGCAUGCAACGUGGCUGCUGAUUUUGCAAUCACAGCAGGUAAGCUCACCUCACAAAGAGACCGCAUAAAGUGCAUUCAUGCUGGAAAAAAAGGACGCUGUAACAAAACACACAGCCUAUGUGGUCACACACAGUGGUUCUAAGUUUCAAAUCAAACCUACUUGUUCCUUAUUAAGGGGGCUAAAGAAAUAAUGUUAUUAUUAUAACGAUAUCAUAGGAAGUGCAUCAGAGAUGUUGACAUAGUGUUGCCUAGUGUCUGUCUGGUUUAAAUAUUUAACAUUUAAUCAACAUUUAGGCGUGUUUAAGAGUGAAAAUAUUGAGAAUAAUAAUAAGAAUAUCUUGAAUUCUACUUUUUGAAUAGUAGAUAAUUUAGAUACUAUAUUUCAGAUUAAAAACAAGUUAAGCUGUAUUAAUUAACAAACAUUUUUUUAUUAAAAAACAAAACCAAAUUGAGGUUAAGACUAUUUAGUAUGGUACACAAGAGCAUGUUGCAUUUACA